CUCCACGGAGGUCAGGCCUUGUUGCUGGAAUCCUUGGAGCAGAGAAGUUCUAUUUCAGUUGGUAGUUGAGGGGUGGAGAUAUCAGCCUGUGGCAGUUGGUGACUAUCUUGCUCUCAUAAAGGCAGAGCCAUGUGAAGAUGACAACAGUGGCAGAGCCCAGAGGUGGGGAAGGAUGACUUCUGCUGAUGUCACUGAGCACCAGGUACCGCCCUGCCUGAAGCUGUCUCCCUGUGGAUGUCUCAGUUAGGCUAUCUGCUGCAUGAGAAUGGAGACCUGCCUGCUUCACUACCUGUUGUGUCCGGUAUCUGGAACCCGCCCAACACACAGUAGGACUUCAGCGAAUGUGUGACGGGUGUGUGAUCACUGUAGGCCACAGACAAAAGUCUUCCAAGCAGUGAUGAAACCCUGUGACAGAUCCUGUCCACAGCACCCUGCUCCUCCAAUCCUGACCCCAGGCUUUCCCAUGGUGUGUGACCCCGCAUGGGGUGCAGUACCCUCCUCCUGUCUGAAACACCAGUGGAAACGUAUGUAUGGAUGUCAUAAUUCAGGGCCUGCUGGAAUGAUCCCUCAGACCAACCUAUGUGUCCUCGUUGCAGUACCAUGUCAGCCCGUCCAAAAUAUAGCAUCUGCAUUUUGGAGAUAAUGCUGAAGGAAAUGCUUCAUCUUCUCACGUUGUGGACAUUGACCAAUUUCCUUUGUUCCCUCAUCCUUGAUUCAUGGGUUCACGAAGGCAACCACAGAGUUGUUCUGCAUCCUCUGCCUCAAACCAGACAGUAAUCCCAGUCCAGGUUACGAAUGUAGCAGAUCCUAAAACUUUUAAUACUGAUUUCAACACCAACUCCCCAUGGAACGCUCAGACCAGAUGCAUGGUAUCUCUGAAUGAGCCCCACACGUGCUCUAUUGGCAAAAUGCCAAAUUGGUCCCUGGUCCUGCAAAUGCAGUGGAUGUGGCCGUAGGAUAUAUCGAUAAAUUCAUCCUCACGCGGCAGUGUGUUUGCUGUAUCACUGAGGUCACAAUUCUCUUUGUUCUCUUGAUAGGACCCAACAUAACCCACAACACACUGUAGAUAACUGAGUUCUGCGUGUGCCAUCAUCCGUAGCCCUAUCCCUCUUUUCCCGCUGCCUCUGCUAGCUCAGAUUUGGCAGCUCGGAUCUUGGUCUCAGAUUCAAUUGUGGGAAUAUUUUGUGCUGAUUUUUUUGAGUUCUGUCAGCCAAGCACCUGCUGUGCACACUUCUAACACUCAGCGCAUCAACUUGAAUCCCAUGUGUGCCGCCCGCUUCAGAGUGUACGUCCAAGUAAAACAGUUUCACCUUUGAUGCUCCAUUACCAGAGAUCAGAUCCUGCACUGGUUUCCAUUCUCUACUUUGCCUUCUCCUGCUUCCAGGUUUUCUGAGGCCUCAUCAUGUCUUUGGAAAUAACAGACCAGUCUUCAGCAAGUGUCCUGUGCCAAGGGCUGGACGUCAGGAAUCUUGGACCCGUUCUUGGAGCAGAGAUUCGAGUAACUUUCUCAAGUGCAUGUUGACACUCCGUAUGUUUCUGUUAGUAUCACCAAGGUUAAGUAUGUCUCAUGAAUGUCCUUCGAGCCUGGUAUUCUCUAGAGCUGUCUCCAUGCCGGUAUUCUCCAU